rnacentral:lncRNA from 1 species
AAAAUAAGGAGUUUAAUAAUUGCAAGGGUGUAGCACACACACACUGAGCAGUCGACCCCGGUGCGGUCUCCUGUCGUGUCCCAGGAAAGUGGGGGUUGGCAUGAAGUGCACAGGGCGCAUGGGCAGCAGCUGGAGGAGAACAGUGGAGUUUCGGACGCUGCUACACCGCAGCAUGGUUCAGAACGGAAAGUGCUUCACAUCUACACGACAGGAAAUGGCUUGAUUCCCCCGCAUCCCUUACAGAACACAGAGGACUUAGGAGUUGGUGAGAGGCGCCCUGUGCUGUUGGUAUCAAAGCUCCCCGCGCAGACACGCAGGAGAGAGAAGUGGGUGUGUACACCAGGGCCGGUUUUAAAAAGAACUGCUCUUGGGUGCAGAUUCUCGCUCCCUGGAGAGCCUGGAAGACACUGGAUCCUCAGAGAGACAAGGCGGCGUGCUGACAGCCUAACCACCCUGUCCAGGGUAGGGAUGCUGGGAACAUGAAUACUCAUGGAACACUCCAAGCGAAUCAUUAAGGAGUGUUGUUCCUGAGUUGAGACCUGCUGUGACAGCAAACACACUGCCUUUUGCUGCAGUGUCUUCUGGGUCAGCAGAGUGCUUGGAAAACAGGGCUUACCAAAAGGAAAGGAACAGCUCAGCUUUUCUCACCCCGCACACUGAGCUGUAAAUGCUAACAGGGGUGGGAGGCUCUGGUGGAUCCUGACAGACACAACCCAUAGACACUGCAACCAGCUAGAGUGUGGCAGAAGGAGAGAGCACAAACGGCCU